GGCUACACAGAGAAACCCUGUCUUGAAAAAAAACAAAACAAAGCAAGACUAAAAAGAAAAAAAAAAAAAAAAAAAAAAGCAGACUCCUUCGUGCUUGCUGUGAUGAAGUGACACCUUCUGGUACAGAUGGGUACUGCAUGCUAGCAAGUAUCCCUAUGAGGAGACCCUCUUUUUAUUAUUAACCCUUUUUAUAUUUUGCCUUAUAUAUAUUGUUUUUUAGUCCAGAAUUCACAUUUUAUUCAUAAUAGUGUGACAAAUCAAAAGUGUACUACUAAUAUUAUAUCAACAAUCAUAAUGUGAAAAUCAAAGUUGUUUUCGAUGAUAUUUCUAGUAUUGGUUCCUUAUAAUUACUGCUUUUGUAGUUGGUGAUUAUAUAGCUAUAGAGAAUCAUGAGGUUCUAUUGUGUGUAUGUAAUUUUUUGUAUGGUCGUAUAUUUACUGUGCAUGGUACUUGGUUACACAGGAUGCUUUCAUGCAUAUAUGUAUACUAUAUAAUGUAUUUUGAGCAUACUCUCCUCAUACCCACCUUCCCUCAUCAUCAUGUUGGUCCUGUUUAUUCCCUUGGACAGUUUUGCUUAUAGACACAAUGGUGGUUUUAUAUGCCAGUGUAAAGAUCUGGACACAACAUGUGGUAAAAACAAGCAGUGUUUGUCUCUCAGAGAUUGACUUCAUUUGCUUGAUAUGGUUAUCUCCAUUUGUGUCCAUUUCCCUGUGGAUGGCAGAACUAUAUUAUUUUUGACAGGAUGUAGCCCAGACUGUCUUUGAACUGACUAUGCCAGGAAGGGUGGCCUUGAGCUUCUAACCUCCACCUCCUGUCUUCACCUCCCUCAUAUUGAAAUAUUCCUUUCAUUCAUAGUCUCUUUGAGAUUUCUUUCAUGAAGGCCUGUUGGAUUCAGUCAAAAGCCUUUUCUCCAUAUAUUGAGAUGGUCAUAUGACUUCAGUCCUUGAGUCCAUUUAUGAAUUACUACAUUUAUUGAUUAUUUAUCAUGUGUUAAACCAUUUCUGCAUUUCUGAAUGAAGACAACUUGAUCAUGGUGAAUGAAAUCUUUUGAUGUACUCUGUAGAGCUGGCUAGUUUUGUGUCAAUGUGCCUCAAGCUGGGGUUAUUUGGAAGGAGAGAAAACUCCCUCACCAAUGGGCUUUUAGACAAGCCUGGGUGACAUUGUCUUGGUUAAUGUUUGAUGUGGGAAGGCCCAGCCCACUAAGGGUUGUGCCACCCCUAAGCCAGCAAUCCUGGAUCCUGUAAGAAAACAGACCAAACAAGCCCCGAGGAGCACGUCAGUAAGCAGCACCCUCCCUGGCCUCUGCUCUAGUUCCUGCCUCAGCUUUCCUCAGUGACGGACUGAUAAGCUAUAGGUGAAACAAACCCUUUCAUCCCCAAGUUGACUUGGGUCAUGGUGUUUUAUCACAGCAACAGAAAUCCUAACAAAGAUAUACCUCUUAAAUUCUGUUUGCAAGUAUUUUAUUGAGGAGUGUGUAUCUGUAUUCAUCAAGGAGAUUGGCUGUUAUUUGUGACAUUUCAAUACAUGGAUAUCAUGUGUGAUGAUCAGAUCAGGAGGGAAGAUUACUAAAUCAGUGUUCCAGCCAAGCGUGAACCCAAGCAUGUUUCUCUCGGUGCGCUAACGUUGGUUGCAUGAAGAGUAAUUUGGCAAGAAAUAUCAUGUUCCACUUUCACACCCUAAAACUGCUGCCAGAAGUGAAAGUGAUGGUCUGAAGCAGCUGUGUGUCCUAACACUGUGGAGCUGAAGAGCAGAUUUCAGAAAAGGCUCUCGGGUUUACUAAAAGCUGAGGGAAGCGAGCUAGCAUUACUCUGGUCUCUUUCUAAGACUGAUGUAGAUGUGAAAAUGAAGCAUCUGAAUUGAAGCCAUUAAGCUGUUGUAGAAUGUAAGCCUGACAACUAAUUAAAAGACUAUAACCAAGUUUGUAGCAA